rnacentral:tRNA from 1 species
GCUGGUGUGGCUCAAUGGCAGAGCAGCACAUUCGUAACGUGCAGGUUGGAGGUUCGAUUCCUCUCACCAGCUCCA